CCUACGGGGGGCUGCAGUGGGGAAUAUUGGACAAUGGGCGAAAGCCUGAUCCAGCCAUGCCGCGUGUGUGAAGAAGGCCUUCGGGUUGUAAAGCACUUUCAGUUGGGAAGAAAGCCUUGGGGCUAAUACCCUCGAGGAAGGACAUCACCCACAGAAGAAGCACCGGCUAACUCCGUGCCAGCAGCCGCGGUAAUACGGAGGGUGCGAGCGUUAAUCGGAAUUACUGGGCGUAAAGCGCGCGUAGGCGGUCUGAUAAGCCGGUUGUGAAAGCCCCGGGCUCAACCUGGGAACGGCAUCCGGAACUGUCAGGCUAGAGUGCAGGAGAGGAAGGUAGAAUUCCCGGUGUAGCGGUGAAAUGCGUAGAGAUCGGGAGGAAUACCAGUGGCGAAGGCGGCCUUCUGGACUGACACUGACGCUGAGGUGCGAAAGCGUGGGUAGCAAACAGGAUUAGAUACCCCGGUAGUC
rnacentral:rRNA from 1 species